ensembl:ncRNA T06H11.7 ncRNA
CUUACCUGACCUCAGCACAACCCUUUCUGAAACCGUGACAAGUGUCGAAUAUCUGCGAUUAGCGCUUGGCACAUUCCGAUUGCAAACAUUCAGGGGCGCCAUUGUGUUGAGCACUUCGCAGACGGAUCGCGAUGGUCGGCGUAAUGGUGGUGGACAGGCGCCACGCGUUGCUGUUGCCAUUUUUCGCACAAUGUUAGCAUCGCUAGCGAUAAACACUGACAUUUUCGUUUUCGAGGGGCCCAAAAAUGCAGAAGACCAAGUCGAACAACGAGACAGACGACAAUUGUUUCAAAAAGGACAACAAUUGUGUAUGUAACCGGCGUGACCGGACGGGAGAAUAAGAAUGAAGAAUAGGAUGAUGUUGUGGUAAAAUGAUAUUUCAGGAAGUAACCAAUAUAUGUGG